CAGCAACAAUUCUGAGAGCUGCAGCCGCCAAUAUCAUAGUUUCUUUUUUACUUGGCAAGAGAUUUGAAUAUGAAGAUGCUAUACUUCUAAGACUCCUGGAAAUACUUGAAGAAAAUUUACACCUUGCAGGAACCCCUGCUGUGUGGAUGUAUAAUGUGUUUCCCAAGUUGAGAUUCCUUUUGUGUGCUCAUAAAAAAAUAAUGAAUAACCG